rnacentral:rRNA from 1 species
CCUACGGGAGGCAGCAGUGAGGAAUAUUGGUCAAUGGGAGCGAUCCUGAACCAGCCAAGCCGCGUGAGGGAAGACGGCCCUAUGGGUUGUAAACCUCUUUUGUCGGAGAACAAAACCCGGGACGUGUCCCGGCCCUCGUGUAUCCGAAGAAAAAGCAUCGGCUAACUCCGUGCCAGCAGGCGCCGUAAUAAGGAGGAUGCGAGCGUUAUCCGGAUUUAGUGGGUUUAAAGGGUGCGUAGGCGGUCCGUUAAGUCAGCGGUAAAAUUGCGGGGCUCAACCCCGUCGAGCCGUUGAAACUGGCGGACUUGAGUUGGCGAGAAGUACGCGGAAUGCGCGGUGUAGCGGUGAAAUGCAUAGAUAUCGCGCAGAACUCCGAUUGCGAAGGCAGCGUACCGGCGCCAGACUGACGCUGAGGCACGAAAGCGUGGGGAUCGAACAGGAUUAGAUACCCGAGUAGUC